UACGGAGGGUGCAAGCGUUAUCCGGAUUCACUGGGUUUAAAGGGUGCGUAGGUGGGCAGGUAAGUCAGUGGUGAAAUCUCCGGGCUUAACUCGGAAACUGCCAUUGAUACUAUCUGUCUUGAAUACCGUGGAGGUCAGCGGAAUAUGUCAUGUAGCGGUGAAAUGCUUAGAUAUGACAUAGAAUACCAAUUGCGAAGGCAGCUGGCUACACGAAUAUUGACACUCAGGCACGAAAGCGUGGGGAUCAAACAGG
rnacentral:rRNA from 1 species